GCGGGAGUAGCGCAGUCGGUAGCGCGCAAGCUUCACAUUGUGGGAACGCUUGAGGCCCUGGGUUCGAGCCCCAGUUUCCGUA